ACAGCAGUCGCCGCGGGAAAACGUAGGUGGCAAGCGUUGUCCGGAAUUAUUGGGCGUAAAGGGCUCGCAGGCGGUUUCUUAAGUCUGAUGUGAAAGCCCCCGGCUCAACCGGGGAGGGUCAUUGGAAACUGGGAAACUUGAGUGCAGAAGAGGAGAGUGGAAUUCCACGUGUAGCGGUGAAAUGCGUAGAGAUGUGGAGGAACACCAGUGGCGAAGGCGACUCUCUGGUCUGUAACUGACGCUGAGGAGCGAAAGCGUGGGGAGCGAACAGGAUUAGAUACCCCAGUAGUCCCUGUCUCUUAUAA
rnacentral:rRNA from 1 species